rnacentral:rRNA from 1 species
UUAACACAUGCAAGUCGAGGGGCAGCAUGGUCUUAUCUUGCUAAGGCCGAUGGCGACCGGCGCACGGGUGAGUAACGCGUAUCCAACCUGCCUUACACUCUUGGACAGCCUUCUGAAAGGGAGAUUAAUACAAGAUGUUAUCAUGAGUAAGCAUUUUCGCAUGAUUAAAGGUUUACCGGUGUAAGAUGGGGAUGCGUUCCAUUAGAUAGUAGGCGGGGUAACGGCCCACCUAGUCUUCGAUGGAUAGGGGUUCUGAGAGGAAGGUCCCCCACAUUGGAACUGAGACACGGUCCAAACUCCUACGGGAGGCAGCAGUGAGGAAUAUUGGUCAAUGGACGAGAGUCUGAACCAGCCAAGUAGCGUGAAGGAUGAAGGUUCUAUGGAUUGUAAACUUCUUUUAUACGGGAAUAAACGAAUCCACGCGUGGAUUUUUGCAUGUACCGUAUGAAUAAGGAUCGGCUAACUCCGUGCCAGCAGCCGCGGUAAUACGGAGGAUCCGAGCGUUAUCCGGAUUUAUUGGGUUUAAAGGGAGCGUAGAUGGGUUGUUAAGUCAGUUGUGAAAGUUUGCGGCUCAACCGUAAAAUUGCAAUUGAUACUGGCAGUCUUGAGUACAGUUGAGGUAGGCGGAAUUCGUGGUGUAGCGGUGAAAUGCUUAGAUAUCACGAAGAACUCCGAUUGCGAAGGCAGCUUACUAACCUGUAACUGACAUUGAUGCUCGAAAGUGUGGGUAUCAAACAGGAUUAGAUACCCUGGUAGUCCACACGGUAAACGAUGAAUACUCGCUGUAGGCGAUAUACAGUCUGCGGCCAAGCGAAAGCAUUAAGUAUUCCACCUGGGGAGUACGCCGGCAACGGUGAAGCUCAAAGGAAUUGACGGGGGCCCGCACAAGCGGAGGAACAUGUGGUUUAAUUCGAUGAUACGCGAGGAACCUUACCCGGGCUUAAAUUGCAACCGAAUAUGGCGGAAACGCUAUAGCUAGCAAUAGCGGUUGUGAAGGUGCUGCAUGGUUGUCGUCAGCUCGUGCCGUGAGGUGUCGGCUUAAGUGCCAUAACGAGCGCAACCCUUGCCGAUAGUUACUAACAGGUCAUGCUGAGGACUCUGUCGGGACUGCCAUCGUAAGAUGUGAGGAAGGUGGGGAUGACGUCAAAUCAGCACGGCCCUUACGUCCGGGGCUACACACGUGUUACAAUGGGGGGUACAGAGGGCUGCUACCACGCAAGUGGAUGCCAAUCCCAAAAACCUCUCUCAGUUCGGAUUGAAGUCUGCAACCCGACUUCAUGAAGCUGGAUUCGCUAGUAAUCGCGCAUCAGCCACGGCGCGGUGAAUACGUUCCCGGGCCUUGUACACACCGCCCGUCAAGCCAUGGGAGCCGGGGGUACCUGAAGUGCGUAACCGCAAGGAGCGCCCUAGGGUAAAACUGGUGACUGGGGCUAAGUCGU